GGGCGCAUAGCUCAGCUGGUUAGAGCACUUCGUUUACACCGAAGGGGUCCAGGGUUCGAAUCCUUGUGCGCCCACUA
rnacentral:tRNA from 2 species